rnacentral:lncRNA from 1 species
UAUAUUGUGUGGAUUGCCUAGACCCAGAAGGUGAGAAAUAGGUGAAAGCUUUAAGUUGAGGACGGUUGUUGAGAUCAAAUGUCUAGAAAAACAAGUAAAGGGCAUAAAAUAAACAUGGAAAAAUCAUCACUUCUCUCAAAAGCCUUUAUGACUCGAGCAAGUAAGUCUGUUAGGGUUUAAAACCUGAUAUCCUAAAGCCAACUGGUUUGGGAAUUAUCGGCCUAAAGCUCGUUACAGGGGUCAUAUAGAAAGCAAGAAAAAGGAGAAGUUGACAAAAAUUCAUCUUAUCGAGCCUUUAUAACUCGGGUGAAUAAGGCUGCAAGGGUUUAAAACCUGGUGCCCUAAGACCAACUGGUUUGGGAGUCAUCGCCUAAAACCCGUUACACGGGUUAUAUAGAAAGCAAAUGAGAAGAUGAGAAAAAAAAAAUUUGAAAAAAAAAGGGGGGCCCUUGUUGGACAUUUGGUUGAUAUAACUUUAACCUUGAUGCGAGGUAAGUAGCUUAGUUUGAGCCUAAAGGUUGAAACAAUCAAAUUAAAGAGAGUCUCUACUUGUUGAUAUGUGUACUUGUAAGGGUAAAAUCUAUCCAAACUAAGAGAGGGUAAGGAUUAUAGUUGUUAAACUCCCAAUCUUAGAACACACCCCGAGAUAUUAGAGUGAAAAGAAUAAGUUUGGGGGGUUGUGUAUCUUUCGAGUGAUGCAAGGAUAAAUUGACCACUAUGGGUCGGGAAUAAACCAUUCAUAAGCUUGAUAUAUUGGCAUGAGUUCACACACACACGUUGAGUAUUGCAAUUGAUGAGUAAACGUUAAUUUUAUUCUCGCACUAUUGAUAUCGUUUUAUUGUUAAUGCUAAGUUCCAAUCCUGAGACACGGCAAGCUAUUAAGUCAUGUUUGUUUAGCAUUGAGUCACUGCAUUGUUUGAGGACAAACAAUAGUUUAAGUUUUGGGGAUUUGAUAAGUAUGUUUUUACUCACUUAUUUGGUUCACAAACAUGACUUAAACAUGGAUAAAAUGAUUGAAUUGUGACUUAAUCUCAUUGAAUUCAUGCAAUGUAGGUGCUUCUAUGGAAAUAGUGGAAUUCAGGAGAAGAGAGCCGAAAAAGGACUAAAAUGGAGCAAAGUGAUAGUUCAGGGACUAAGGAUGCAAAUAUUCGAAAGUUGAACUAAAAGACAACUCGGGAAUGCAAAUAUGCUAAGUAUGAACUCGAAAGCAAUACAAGAUGAUUGGAAGAAGAAGGAAUUGCAAAGGAACUAAAAUGAAUUAAACUGAAAGUUCGGGGACCAAGUUGCAAAUAAUUCAUAGAUGAGACAGGAAAUGGAAUGAAGAUUCAAGAGUAUUAGAGGUCAAUCGGAUGAGGAAAGGAGUCACGAGGUGAAAUAGGGUCGGAGUAUUAUCAAGUAUCAACUUUCAGGCGAAAAAGAUAUGCUCGUGAUUUUUAGUAUCUAAUUGAGAUCCAUUUUUGACACAGUAAACAUCAGAAUUUGAGGAAGCCUAUUUCUAUAAAAAGUUUAGAUCUUUGAGUUUUCUUCACAAUACACUUUGAAUCACUUCAAUCGGAGAUCAGGAGAGAAAGUUAUGACCAAAAUACUAAACGCUGUCCAGCGAAAAGAAUUGUAUAACUAUGCGGUCGCAUAGUAUAAAUUCUAUGCGGUCGCAUAGAAGCCUCCCGAGAACUUUUUCUCAAAUUUUUUUACUCUAUGCGACAGCAUAGAAAUGUACUAUGCAGUCGCAUAGGUAUAAUCUGGGGGCCGUUUUGCAGUUUCCUGAUACGAUUGAAACUCCUUUGGUAACCUAAUUUCCACGCGAUUUAAAUACGAAAGAACGUCCAGAAGAGGGGGAGAACGUAAUUGGAGGCACAAAAACACAAUUUUGGAGGAUUUGGAGGGAAAGAACAAGGCAAAAACAAGGCAAUCCACUUCAAGAUUCAAGAUUUCACUUCAAGAGUCAAUUGGGUGAUGUUCUUCCUUGGUUUUAAUUGUUGUUUUUCUUUAUUUCCAAUUAUGUUAGGCUAGAUUUUCAUGUGCUAGGAGAUCGAUGUACCAUGUGAUUUGAGUUUUAUAUUUCUAGUUUUGCAAUUUGACAUUAAAACAUAUUUCUUUUGUUUUGAAUGAUUUAUAUGCAUUUAUUGUUUCCGCAAUUAAGGGCCCGUAAUUGUGUGAGUUUGGGUGAUUUAUUCUUGCAUUCGAGAGAAUUGGAAUAGAUUCGACAUAAUAUAAAUCAUCGUAGGGUCCGAUAGGGGAUAGAAAUAUACCGCUAUGCCCUACGUGAAUCUUUAAGUGUUCAUAAAACUACAUGCAUUUUUACAUAUGCACUUGUCAUAGAAAUAUAGGCCGGUGGUAUGUAGAAAUAGGUUUGAUACAUCUCGAGAGAGAGUAUUGGAUAGACUUAGGAACAUUGAUUCGUCAACAAUUGAAU